CAAUAGCGUAUAUUAAAGUUGUUGCGGUAAAAAAGCUCGUAGUUGGAUUUCUGUUGAGAGCGACCGGUCCAUACCAUGUAUGCGUAUCUGGCUUGCUCUCGGCAUCCUCUCGAUAGACGUUACUGCGCUUGAUUGCGUGGUGCGGAUCUCGGGACUUUUACUUUGAGGAAAUUAGAGUGUUCACGGCAGGCUUUCGCCAGAAUACAUUAGCAUGGAAUAAUACUAUAGGAUCUUGGUUCUAUUUUGUUGGUUUCUAGAAUUGAGAUAAUGAUUAAUAGGGACAAUUGGGGGCAUUCGUAUCAACACGUCAGAGGUGGAAUUCUUGGAUUGUGUUGCGACGAACUACUGCGAAGGCAUUUGCCAAGGAUGUUUUCAUUGA
rnacentral:rRNA from 1 species